rnacentral:rRNA from 1 species
AGCGAACGCUGGCGGCAGGCCUAACACAUGCAAGUCGAACGGAUCCUUCGGGAUUAGUGGCGGACGGGUGAGUAACACAUGGGAACGUGCCCGUUGGUUCGGAACAACUCAGGGAAACUUGAGCUAAUACCGGAUGUGCCCUUCGGGGGAAAGAUUUAUCGCCAUUGGAGCGGCCCGCGUCUGAUUAGCUAGUUGGUGAGGUAACGGCCCACCAAGGCGACGAUCAGUAGCUGGUCUGAGAGGAUGAUCAGCCACACUGGGACUGAGACACGGCCCAGACUCCUACGGGAGGCAGCAGUGGGGAAUCUUGCGCAAUGGGCGAAAGCCUGACGCAGCCAUGCCGCGUGAAUGAUGAAGGUCUUAGGAUUGUAAAAUUCUUUCAGCGGGGACGAUAAUGACGGUACCCGCAGAAGAAGCUCCGGCUAACUUCGUG